rnacentral:rRNA from 1 species
AAAUCCGCGCAGGGUGAGCCGGUCCCUAAGGCGAGGCCGACAGGCGUAGUCGAUGGGAACCAGGUUAAUAUUCCUGGGCCAGCUGGAUGUGACGUCCCACGUAAAUUGUUCUCUCUUAUCGGAUUGAGAGGGCCGUGAAGUGGGGCCAGGAAAUAACGCCAGCAUCAGACCGUACCCUAAACCGACACAGGUGGAUUGGUAGAGUAUACCUAGGCGUUUGAGAGAACUACGUUGAAGGAACUAGGCAAAUUACCCUCGUAACUUCGGGAUAAGAGGGCCUCUUACAUGGGCAACCAUGCGAGAGGGGCACAGACUAGGGGGUUGCGACUGUUUACUAAAAACACAGGGCUCUGCGAAGUGGUCAACACGACGUAUAGGGUCUGACGCCUGCCCGGUGCCGGAAGGUUAAAAGGAGAUGUGCAAGCAUUGAAUUGAAGCCCCGGUAAACGGCGGCCGUAACAAUAACGGUCCUAAGGUAGCGAAAUUCCUUGUCGGGUAAGUUCCGACCUGCACGAGGGCGUAACGACUUCCCCGCUGUCUCCAACGUAGACUCAGCGAAAUUGAAAUCUCCGUGAAGAUGCGGAGUUCCCGCGGUUAGACGGAAAGACCCCGUGCACCUUUACUGCAACUUUUCAGUGGUAUUAGACAAUGGAUGUGUAGGAUAGGUCGGAGGCUUUGAAGCCCGGGCGCCAGCUCGGGUGGAGCCAACGUUGAAAUACGACCCUUUCGUUGUCUGAUAUCUAACUGCAUCCCGUCAUCCGGGAUCAGGACACUGAAUGGUGGGCAGUUUGACUGGGGCGGUCGCCUCCGAAAGAGUAACGGAGGCGCGCGAUGGUGAGCUCAAGCCGGUCGGAAAUCGGCUGUUGAGUGCAAGAGCAUAAGCUCGCCUGACUGUGAGACUGACAAGUCGAGCAGAGACGAAAGUCGGUUCUAGUGAUCCGGUGGUUCUGAGUGGAAGGGCCAUCGCUCAACGGAUAAAAGGUACGCCGGGGAUAACAGGCUGAUACCCCCCAAGAGUCCACAUCGACGGGGGUGUUUGGCACCUCGAUGUCGGCUCAUCACAUCCUGGGGCUGGAGCAGGUCCCAAGGGUAUGGCUGUUCGCCAUUUAAAGUGGUACGUGAGCUGGGUUUAGAACGUCGUGAGACAGUUCGGUCCCUAUCUGCCGUGGGUGUAGGAAAUUUGAGAGGAUUUGUCCCUAGUACGAGAGGACCGGGAUGAACGUACCUCUGGUGUACCAGUUGUUCCGCCAGGAGCAUCGCUGGGUAGCUAUGUACGGACGGGAUAACCGCUGAAGGCAUCUAAGCGGGAAACCCACCUCAAAACGAGAUUUCCCUUGAGAACCGUGGUAGACCACCACGUUGAUAGGCUGGGUGUGGAAGCAUCGCGAGAUGUGGAGCUAACCAGUACUAAUUGUUCUA